AUAUUUGUAUCUAAGUUCCAAUAUUUGUAUAAUUUUGUGAAGAGAAAAGAGUCUCUAUUAGGAUAUAGUAGUAAGUACGGACUACGGAGUAUUUGAAUUGGGAAGUGAAGAACAAAUUAAAAGUGCGAAAACCAAAUUUAGCAAAGGUAUGAAGAGAGAAGAGAAACGGCAAAAGCUCCAUGAAGGGCUCCUUAGGAUGCUCUAUCCUCCUCCACCAUCACCUCCUUCCCAAGAAGAAAACAGUGACGACGAACCAUUUGACAUUCUCGAACAAGGCGAUCAAAUUCCAGAUCAACUGGAAAAGGAUAGGGGUUCUUCCUCCUCUGGCGACCAGGAGGAGACUGAUCAUGGGCCUGAGAAGCUCACAAGGGCACAGAGGAAGAAGAUUCGACGGAAGAAGCUUAAGGAAGCCUCCACACGCCGCCAGAAUAUAAUAGGGCCGUUGUUGCCUACUGAAGAGAUUGAUCGUGAGGAUGUAAAUGUGAGUGCGCCACCGCAAGGUGUUCGACAAAAUGCCAAUGAGACAGAUGAUGCAGAUUCUUUCUUGAAACAAAACAAACAAAAACAAAGAAGAAUGGCUUAACGGUUGGUUGGUGGCAGCUCAAAGUCAACUGGGGAUGGCAACAAGACUUGAAAGCUCCAUUUCUUUGGCCGAGGGAUAAGAAAACUUGACUGACUGCUUAAAGAAGGGUCAUUGCAAAGUGAAAAUUUUGAAAUCGGAUUUGAUACAACUGCUGACAAAAUUUUUAAGAGGUUGUGUUAUUUUUUCAUAACUCUGAGGCAUGUUUUUUUUAUUUUUGAACUGUGUGUUCAUGUUUAGGAUACUUAUAUAUAGUUGCAAAUGUUCACUUAAUAGUAGUUAAUUUAAUGAUUUGUUAUCUUCUAGUACUGUAAAUUAUCUUAUAUUCAUAUUAUUUUGAUGACAUAUAGCUUAAUGAAUGUUGGAGAAACCUUGUUUUAAGAAUUUUCAGAGUUUGAAGACAACAUGUGUGUGGUCAGAUACUCAAUGAAGUGGAUUGAGAAUCACGUGGCCUCAAGUUCAAAAUGUUAUUGGAGGCAAAAACAUUAGAAGGAUAGGAAACAGAAAAGAAGCAUGGAUUUCAAUAUUUUUGAUAAGCAGUUCCACAAAGUAAGAGAGGAAGUCAACUCCAGGAAUUAAGGAUCUUAGCUUAGCGGAAGGUAUGGCGUAAACUGCUGAGGCAGAUCCUUUUCUUGUUAUUUUGUACUAAGAGGUGGGGUGUGCACCCAUUUAAGAUUGUUUUUCUUCUUAUCCCCAAAAAUCAAUGCUCUAUUACUUAUCAUUAGUCAAUAAUAUUAACAUAUUACAAUUCUUGUUCCUACUAUCGCUAGCCGCCACAAGAAAAGUUGCACCUUAUUAAGGUAAUAAAUAUAUGCACUAUUGCUCUUGUGGAAAGUGGAAACUACCACUUUUUCAAAUUAUGAAGAAAAAUUGUCAACAGUAAAGAGCAAAAUUAUAGGUAAAAAUAGUGAUAAUAAUAACACCAAACAGUGACCACUUCUGUU